ensembl:lncRNA
UUUUUAUUUGUAAUACCAGUUAUGUGUUUAAAUGACUACUUUUUCACAUAGCUUAAAAGGGCACUUUGGAUUUGCAGUAGCUAGCACGUGGAUUAAUAUUUCAGGGAUUUGCAAGCAAUCAUGGCUGUUAGAGCAUCUUGAUUUGGUGGUGGGUCAGAGGAAGGUAGCAUUAACUUGCAUUACCUACCUUGUUUUGCUUUUUUUUUUAACCUCCUGAGCUUCUUUAGAUAACUUUGUCCACCUUUCUGUCUGGAGAUGACUGUAAGUUAAAGGCUACUUUAACAAAUAUGACUCACUGAUAGGUAACUACUAAUUAUGCACUUGGCUUCUCUGGAAUAUGGGAUAAUGAUGGCUUUGAAUGGCUUUUAGUGUGUGUGCACGUUCUUACAUCAGUUAUAUCCAUUAACUGCAAGAGUAAUGUUUAUUAUCAGAAGCCUUUAAUUUCAUUCUAGAUGAAUUAUUUCUUUCAGGGUGGUAAUUCUGUGGUUAUUCUAACCCUCAGGUAGAAGCAAGGCCUCUUGUUUCUGUAUGAACACAUAGGGAAGAAGUAUGGCCUUUUAUUAUUGAAACAUUAUCAACUUUAUAAAUGAUUCCUUGAGGAAAGAAGAAAUUACAACUGCUCCUUGAUUAAAAUUCACCAUGCACAGAAGAGAGGAAUAAAUUAUAAGUUGUUUCUGCCUCUUAAGUUAGGGCAUACAGGAGGAGGUAGGGGAUGCUCUGAUCUGCAUUGUAGACCCUAGGAGGGUCAAAAAGUAGUUACGAUGAUCUUGUUUUUGUCAUGAAACAUCUGAUUUACUGGUUCACUUCAGUGCAAAUUAUUUAAUGCUUAGCCACUACUAACUUCAUGUCUGUCUUAUUUCAGAUUCAAGUCAGUUUCAUGUUCCUGAAAAAUUAUAUCCAUAUGAAACCGUGUAUCUCAACUGUUCCUCAUUUCCUGAUGAAGUGAUCUCAGAACUGGAGACGCAAAUAGUUACGGGUUUAGACACCUAACUUGGAUGAUAGUCAAGAGUCAGAAGUGAGGAAGCAUGAUUUCCUUUAUUAUAUAUAGGUAUUUUCUCAGUGCGAUUCAGCAUCAUAAGGCACAUGCUUAAAAUAAGUAAGGACUUUUCAAAAGCUGUCAUACUGGUGGGCAUGGAAAUGAAAUAGUUAAAUGAUGGGAGAAAGGUUAAUGCUGUCAGAAUUUGUUCUUAUUUUAAUAGGAAUGUGACAUUUUGGCUGUAUUGACACUGUGUUGUCAUGUGAUGCGUGAUUUGCUUUAUAUAUUAUGCUUACUGUCCAAGCAGCUAAAUGAGACAGCAGAAGUUAACUGUAUGUGACUUAAGUUUGUCAUCAGGUACGACUCACUUAAUGUACUCUCAUAGGACAGUGCUCGUUCCAGGUUAAAGAUUCAGUCUUGGACUGGACAGGAGCAGCAGUUAGUGAGAUUCUUCUUUAGAGUGACAGCGUAUGAAGAUCUGCGGAGUCUUUGGAAGGAAGAAUGAGCAUCACCUGAUCAACUUGCUGUGCAGUGCACUUGCUUCAUGUUCCUUCAAGGUAUUUUGUUAAAUGCAUGUAAUUCUUAAAUUGUAGUUCAUUUAAUAGUUAAAUAUAAUUACACAGUUAUGUGAAGUUUUCACUUAAAAGGAUUUGUUCAAUUUUGUUUUCCUAUUAAUUUUCAAAUUAAGUUCACCUUUUCUGUUUGAUCAAGGCUUUCCCAGUUUUGAUCAGAGAUCUACUUUUUGUUGUAUAAAACAAAUAUUGUUGUGCCUAGUUACUGGGAAGAGGAUUCAAGGCAUGAGAGCUUAAGCACGAGGAGCCCAAACCUCUUGAAUUGGAUGAGCUUUCACUGAGUACAACAUAAGCUAAUGCUGACUGAUAAUGUGACAUCAGGUAGAAGGUCUCUUUUCAGAAGCUAUGAUGGAGGACUUGUGAAUGAUUUUCCACUGCAUUCUGUUUAUUUACUGGCUGGGCUCUUGUCUGUAAUCAACUAUUUAAUACUAGGUAACACCUUUCUCUUCUAUAUCGUGUUGCAAAAAUGACAAUCCAGAAGCCUGCUUCUGUGUUUGGAUCUUAGGCUUACUCUCUCUUUGCUGAGUGGGCACUUCUUCUGGGCUCCUUUAUUUCCUCCCCCACUCAAGUUCUGCCAUCAGUUCCUCUGUUCUUGCUACCUGCUGAAUUGACUGACUUUAGCUGUAGUUCUAGGCCUAUUGAGAUUAAAGGCUUUAUUAAUGCCAGGCACUGAAUGUACCAGGGAAAUGGCCACUUUGUUUCUUUAAGAAUGUUAAAUUCUGUUUAUUGGAAACACAUGGCAGAUUUCUAAUUCCUGUGUGAGUACAAAUAUCAGUUGAGUUAUGCACUUGGAAGGUCACGUGGCAGAACAGGUCCCGUGUCUUCAGUCCACAUACAUGGUUUUAAGCCACAACUAAUAUUUCCUUGUCAGUGACACCUGUGGUUUUCCUCUGUUAAAUAUUUGAUUUGGAAAGAAAAACAUGCAAGGUAGCUUUCACUCUUUGUGACUCUAAUUUAAAACCAAGCCUAUUCAUUUUUAAUAGGAAUGUACGGCACUUAAGCUGGUAAGUCAGUUUCUGGAUGAAUUAGCUGCCACUGUGCUGUUUUCUGUGUUUGAUAUGGCUUCUGCAUUUUGGAGCCAAUGUGUAUUUAGUACCUAUACAUCUCUUCAAAGAGUGUGAUAUGACUUGAAAGGCAGAAUAUUAGGUCGCUGAAAAUAUUUUAGUUUUGUUCUGCAGUAAAAUUCAGUGAAUAUUAAUGAUAGCAACAAUAUUAAAUCUUUGGUUAGAGAGAGGUGGAACACUUCAUUUUUAAGUAAUACUGUUUUUGUUUCUCUCCACUGUUAGAGAGAGGAAACACUGUUAUGAGUUGAGCCACUAGUAGGAAAUCCUAACUGGCUAUGUAGGAUUAAUGAGCUAAAAUUAUUUUUAACCUGACCUCAUAGAAGGAAAAGCACUAGAAAAAUUAAGACAGAAGCAAUUGGUGUUUUUCUCUUUGAAGGCUGUACUAAUACCUAUCAAAUAACCUUGCUUCUAGCUAGAACUUUAUUGAAAUUCUAUGUGGGAUGUUCUUAGUCCAG